CCGGGUUCAACCGAGAGUACGCUAGAUGGUCUCCCUGCAUCUUUACAGUUGACAAAGUCCUUGGCGACAGCGCUCAGGAAAUGCCACUCUAAAAUCUGGUACCUUCGAGUACCAGGAAGCUGAAGGAAAUGGAGUAAGGGCCUGUACCCAGAGGACUGGCUGCCUCUCCCUCCGUCCCCGGGGCAGGUCCCGAGACCCUCCUAGGAGCGGUGCCCUCCCCAUACCCAAGGAAGAGAGCAUCCCUGGUCUCUGCAGGGUAGGGACACUGAGGGGAUCUGAGCCAAGAGGACUUUCUAGGUUCCCCCCUUAGCUCACCCCCUUCUGUCCUAUCGCACUCCUCCCUGACCUGCCCCAAAACACACCGGCUUAGCACUCUCUGGGGCUUCAUUUCCUUAUAAAGGCUCCUGUGUCAUGUAAAAUUUGUUUCAAAUGUGAGUGCUUUCCUUUUGUUAACCUGUCUUUCCUCACAGAGCUCCAGCUAGAUGGGGUAGAGGAAAACACAUCUUUCUCCUCCCUUGUGUUGGCAGUUUUGCAAACGGAUGUGUCAUCACUUCCAACAACCGCAAACUCCCUACCCGUGACCCAUAAUAAAGAUGAACCAACAGCACAGAAAUUCAGCACAAUAUAAGCGCAGCCUGGAUCUUGGUUGCCCUGGUUACGAGGAGUCACUGCACAGGGCAUGAUCAUCCGCUGUUACACCUGAAUCUGGAAGGGCUCUUCGUGCCUUUCCCCACAUCACCCUCCUUUUGUCCGGGUUACUUUUUUUAGAUAAAACGUUGGAUACAAUUGCAGCUCUGUCUCUCCCCCAGCACUUCCUGGGAUGAGAGGCUCCUUUCAUUCCCUAUUACCAUUUCUAAGCACCAGCCAGGAAGCCUGCCGCUGGCCGAGCUCCACUGCCUUUGUGAGGGCGGCGAUUUUGUCUUGGUCUCUCUGGUCCGACGGCUUUAUUUAUAACUGCCCAGUAAAUGCAAAAUAUUUUACACAAAUAUUUUUAUAUCUCUCAGGGGUAUUUACUGUAAGUGCCUGGAUUUAUAGAAGGCGUCAUCUUGCUUUCAGAAGAGCCCGCAGUCCAAAGGGAGAAAGGAUGACAGCUUCGCCGAAUUCCAUCCGCAUUACUGCUGCAAAUGAGGUACAACUGUUUCUCAGCUGUGGUUUCGAGGGCCCUGCGUGGCCCAGUGCUCUGCAUUCCUCCCUCUGAUAGUGAGGUCAGCCUGGGUCGCCCGCUCUCCUGACGCGGGACCCUUCCCAAACCUUGUGGCCCGCGUGGGGUAUAUCGGGUUUUCUGAAAAGUAGAAGCUUUAAGAGCCAACCAUCCAAUGAGAACUGCGGUGUAUCAG